rnacentral:misc_RNA from 1 species
UCCGGUUUGGCACCGGCAGUCUCCGAUGAGUCCCCGGCUUUACCCGCUGGCAACAUCGGAUAGGGGUUGCGCUCGUUGCGCCACUUAAGGCAACACCUCACGGCACGAGCUGACGACAGCCAUGCAGCACCUGUACGGGCUCCCGAAGGAGGACCGGCUUUCACCGGCUUCACCCCGCAUGUCAAGCCCUGGUAAGGUGGGGAUGACGUGGCUGUACCAUAGA